rnacentral:rRNA from 1 species
UUAUGGCUCAGGAUGAACGCUGGCGGCGUGCUUAAUACAUGCAAGUCGAACGAAGACAUCUCGCCGAAGCUUGCUUCAUUGAGAUAUCUUAGUGGCGGACGGGUGAGUAACGCGUGGGUAACCUGCCUUACACAGGGGGAUAACAGUUAGAAAUGACUGCUAAUACCGCAUAAGCGCACAUUAUCGCAUGAUAGAGUGUGAAAAGAUUUAUCGGUGUAAGAUGGACCCGCGUCUGAUUAGCUAGUUGGUGAGGUAACGGCCCACCAAGGCGACGAUCAGUAGCCGGCCUGAGAGGGUGAACGGCCACAUUGGGACUGAGACACGGCCCAAACUCCUACGGGAGGCAGCAGUAGGGAAUAUUGGACAAUGGGGGAAACCCUGAAUCCAGCGACGCCGCGUGAGUGAAGAAGUUAUUUCGGUACGUAAAGCUCUAUCAGCAGGGAAGAAAAUGACGGUACCUGACUAAGAAGCACCGGCUAAAUACGUGCCAGCAGCCGC